AGUGAACGCUGGCGGUAGGCCUAACACAUGCAAGUCGAACGGCAGCACAGGAGAGCUUGCUCUCUGGGUGGCGAGUGGCGGACGGGUGAGGAAUACAUCGGAAUCUACUCUGUCGUGGGGGAUAACGCAGGGAAACUUACGCUAAUACCGCAUACGACCUACGGGUGAAAGCAGGGGACCUUCGGGCCUUGCGCGAUUGAAUGAGCCGAUGUCGGAUUAGCUAGUUGGCGGGGUAAAGGCCCACCAAGGCGACGAUCCGUAGCUGGUCUGAGAGGAGGAUCAGCCACACUGGAAAUGAGACACGGUCCAGACUCCUACGGGAGGAAGCAGUGGGAAAUAUCGGACAAUGGGCGCAAGCCUGAUCCAGCCAUACCGCGUGGGUGAAGAAGGCCUUCGGGUUGUAAAGCCCUUUUGUUGGGAAAGAAAUCCAGCUGGCUAAUACCCGGUUGGGAUGACGGCACCCAAAGAAUAAGCACCGGCUAACUUCGUGCCAGCCGCCGCCGUAA
rnacentral:rRNA from 1 species